rnacentral:rRNA from 1 species
AGGAAUAUUGGACAAUGGGCGCAAGCCUGAUCCAGCCAUGCCGCGUGAGUGAAGAAGGCCUUCGGGUUGUAAAGCUCUUUUGGCGGGGACGAUGAUGACGGUACCCGCAGAAUAAGCCCCGGCUAACUUCGUGCCAGCAGCCGCGGUAAGACGAAGGGGGCUAGCGUUGUUCGGAAUUACUGGGCGUAAAGGGCGCGUAGGCGGUUUGUUAAGUCAGGCGUGAAAGCCCUGGGCUCAACCUGGGAUGUGCGCUUGAUACUGGCAAGCUUGAGUGCAGGAGAGGAUGGUGGAAUUCCCAGUGUAGAGGUGAAAUUCGUAGAUACUUGGAAGAACACCGGUGGCGAAGGCGGCCAUCUGGACUGCAACUGACGCUGAGGCGCGAAAGCGUGGGGAGCAAA